rnacentral:rRNA from 1 species
AGGGAGCUUGACUGUGAGACUGACAGGUCGAGCAGGGACGAAAGUCGGGACUAGUGACCCGCCGGUGGCAAGUGGAAGCGCCGGCGCUCAACGGAUAAAAGGUACCCCGGGGAUAACAGGCUGAUCCUGCCCAAGAGUCCAUAUCGACGGCAUGGUUUGGCACCUCGAUGUCGGCUCGUCGCAUCCUGGGGCUGGAGUUGGUCCCAAGGGUUGGGCUGUUCGCCCAUUAAAGCGGUACGCGAGCUGGGUUUAGAACGUCGUGAGACAGUUCGGUCCCUAUCCGCUGCGCGCGCAGGAAACUUGAGAAAGGCUGCCCCUAGUACGAGAGGACCGGGGUGGACCAACCUCUGGUGUGCCAGUUGUUCCGCCAGGAGCACGGCUGGUUGGCUACGUUGGGAAGGGAUAACCGCUGAAAGCAUCUAAGCGGGAAGCCCGUUUCAAGAUGAGGUUUCCAAGGAGCUUGUCUCCUGAAGGCCCCCUAUAGACCAUGGGGUUGAUAGGCCGGACGUGGAAGAGAGGACUAACGACUCUUGAAGCUGACCGGUACUAAUAGGCCGAUAACUUGACUUA